rnacentral:rRNA from 1 species
UACGAAGGGGGCGAGCGUUGUUCGGAUUUACUGGGCGUAAAGGGCGCGUAGGCGGCCCUCUUUGUCGCGUGUGAAAGCCCCGGGCUCAACCUGGGAAUUGCGCGCGAAACGGGGGGGCUUGAGUUCGGGAGAGGAGCGUGGAAUUCCCAGUGUAGAGGUGAAAUUCGUAGAUAUCGGGAGGAACACCGGUGGCGAAGGCGGCGACCUGGGUCGAGACUGACGCUGAGGCGCGAAAGCGUGGGGAGCAAACAGG